GACGAACGCUGGCGGCGUGCUUAACACAUGCAAGUCGAACGGAAAGGCCCUUCUUUUGUGGGGUGCUCGAGUGGCGAACGGGUGAGUAACACGUGAGUAACCUGCCCUUGACUUUGGGAUAACUUCAGGAAACUGGGGCUAAUACCGGAUAGGAGCUCCUGCUGCAUGGUGGGGGUUGGAAAGUUUCGGCGGUUGGGGAUGGACUCGCGGCUUAUCAGCUUGUUGGUGGGGUAGUGGCUUACCAAGGCUUUGACGGGUAGCCGGCCUGAGAGGGUGACCGGCCACAUUGGGACUGAGAUACGGCCCAGACUCAUACGGGAGGCAGCAGUGGGGAAUAUUGCACAAUGGGCGGAAGCCUGAUGCAGCAACGCCGCGUGCGGGAUGACGGCCUUCGGGUUGUAAACCGCUUUCGCCUGUGACGAAGCGUGAGUGACGGUAAUGGGUAAAGAAGCACCGGCUAACUACGUG
rnacentral:rRNA from 1 species